AGCAAAAUUCUGAGUCUAUGCAUCUGAAUUUUAUGUAGAUGCACACUGUGUAAUUGGUCUUCAAAGUUUUCUGGUUGCU